AAGACUAUACUUUCAGGGAUCAUUUCUAUAGUAUCUAACUAGGAAAUGUGAUUAGAAAGUGUUACGUCUCCCUAAUCACGAUGACGAGUUUUGAUGUACUCUUCUGAGCGUGAAUCGGAUUAUAGCUAGUGCUUCAUGCAUGGGCUGUGAUCAUUGAUGAACGUUCUCCGUUUCGUCAGAAAUGCGAGAGGAUGAGUGCAUGAUCAGAGUGAU